GUCAUAUCACUUUGAAACACGGGUUCUGAUAAGUUCACUGAAGUUAAGCAACGCCGAGUCAGGUCAGUACCUAGAUGGGUGACCGCUUUGGAAUACCAGGUGAUGUAA